UUGACCUCGGAUCAGGAGGGAUAC
rnacentral:rRNA from 1 species